UCUUUCCAGGAAUACUAUUAUAUUCCCCGGAAUGGCAAAAAAAUCAUAGCGGUAAGCUUUAUGGAAAGUACGUGAACUAUCGAGUAAAACAGCGGAAAAGCUCUUGUUAUAUUGCUAAUGCAUCAGCCGCUCCACCAAUAUCAAGUCAAAACAAAGAUUUACAAGAGGUCGAUUUGUUCAUUGCUACAGCUCUGAAGACGUCACUAGGCAGAAACAGUUCGAAUUGGAAUGAAGUCCGCGACAAUUGGCAAAAAACUUAUCAGUUACGUCAGAAUGUUUUAGCUGUAAUGAACAACAUUGAGUUUAUAAAUGCUUGGCCCAAAUAAUCAGACGCCCGAGCGCCAGAAUUGAUAAAGAUUGACUUUAAUCUAAUGUAUCCUGGAAAAGAUUUACUAAUGUACACAAAAUGGGAAUUAUUCAGAAAUAAUAUUUCAAGUUGCUAUGAAUCCAAUAUCCACACGGAUUAUUGUAAGGAGCUAUUUUCAAUCGCCAAAACGAGUGAAUACAAAGAAUCUCAAGACUACAUUUUAACGAUGCUUUUAAACGCAGUUCUUCCUCCAACUACACGAUUGAAACUAAAAGCGAAAAAUUUAACAAAAAAUAUACAAUAGCCGACGCACAAGAGAGUUUCGUUUUGCGUGUCAUCUCUAUUAACGACUAAGAGCGGAAAAUCAACGAAUUGAUCCUUAAAUAUUAUUCAAUUGGAUUUACCAUUCAGCCGUUUCUUAUUGUCGAAGGUGUUUCGGAUGCAGAAAUAAGUAGUUUUUAUAUUUACUUUGAUAAGCGCUUAUACAAAUUCGACAGAUUUCUUGACAGUUUAGAUACAUGCUUUGAAAUACUCCAAACCUUUUCUUUAAAGUAUCCCACUGCAUGCGAAACCACUUCGGUUUUCGUUCAACAAUAUUUUUCCAAUAUUAAAACCAAAUUUGAUUGCAAAUCUUCUAAGUUAACCGCUCUAUUUUAUAAAUCAUUUAAAAGUCAAUCAUUU